rnacentral:tRNA from 1 species
GCCUCCAUAGCUCAAUGGAUAGAGCACCAGACUUCUAAUCUGUAGGUUGUGGGUUCGAGUCCCGCUGGGGGCG